ACAAAACAACCCAGAGGAAAUAACUAGACAGCAGGCUCAUUAUUUGGGCGGUGAUCAGAGGAGUGAAGCAGACAGCUUCUUUUCUUUCUUUCUUUCUUGCAUCUUACAAAAACAAGAUCGAGGGUGAGGAACUCAGUGUGAGGGAAAAAAAAAGAUUAGCAAGCUGUAUCAUCAGCUAAACAAAGUCGAGAGAAUACUGUCAGUGGGCAAAGGAAACUGGAGCUAAGAGUGAGGAACUAGAACCAGAAAUUUUAGCAGCCGGCAACAUCGAAUUCUUAGGAGAAAAGGGUAAGAACCUACACUUAUUUUCAGUUUCUUCGGUAUAACUGGAAUAAUACAUGAGCUGCAUGUGAAUUUAGCAAAGAAAAUAAGUUCUUAGCUAAGAUAAAAUUCUGUUUUGAAAGGAAUGAAACUAACGGACAGAGAUGGAGAGAAUUGGGAGUUGUUGUUUGAAUUUCAGCCUAUAAGUGAUGGAAAAUUUAUGUGAUAAUCUCUUAAUCACCUAAUACACUUGAAUACGUAUGUUGUAUGAUAGUUUUUAGCCAAGAAAAGUGAGUUUUGCUAAAGGAAAUCCUGUGUAGAAACUGAUUCGUUCUUGGAAAGCUCAACUUGGCCGAUGGUAGGAGAGUUGAAGUUCACAGCUGUCCAUUCAAAAUCUUGGAGGAAAUUUCACUAAAAAUGCAUGAUAUAUGUUCAAUCUCAUGGCUUUUAAGAUAUUUGUUUUGAAACUAGUGAAUCAUUAACAAACUUGGCCGAAUUUGUUGAAAGAAACUGCUGGAAAUUUGAUGACAUGGUCGAGAGAGAAAUGGAAGAAUUUUCCAGUUUUCUUCAUGAAUAUUGACUGUGAAAUUGCAUAUUGUUGCUGUCUACACCUUGUAAUCCAAUAAUAUUAGCAUGCAUGUAGUAUUUAACUUGAAUCCAAGUGAAAUAAGUGUUGGUGUUGAAGGAACUUACUGGAAAUUUCUGUUGAGACCCGAUGAGAGAGGAGCUGGGAAUUUUUCUAGUUUUAUCUCCACAAUUUUGGUUGUGAAUGAAUAUAUAUCUUUGCUCCACAUACCUCUUAAUACUUAAACCUUAGCAUGCAUGUGGUAAAUUAUUUGGAUUAAACAAGGAAAGAUCAACUUUUGGAGGAAAUAUCAAAGCUGGAAUUUCUGGACAAAAGUGUUGUAUGAACCCGAGAGGAUAAAGCUGCAAUUGUUGGCUCUUUUCUUCAAAAUUUGCUGGAUUCGAAGUUGCAUGUUUUCACUUUAGUGUUUAGGUGAUUGCAUGUUGGAUUUGGUUAAUAACUUGGUAGAUUGAAUGAAAUCUCGGAAGAUACAUGGCUGGAAUCUCCGUUUUGAAACCUGAAUGACUGAUUGUAUUCUCUCAAGCUUAACUUCUGUUUCGUAAAUUGAAGUUUAUGCGGAUAUUGGCUAAAAGUAUCCUAUAGUACCCUGUUUUGUUGCAUGUAUUAUGAUUACUUUGAUUUAGAAAGAAACAUAGAGCCUUUGGAGAAGAAAUCUGAAGCUAGUUGAGCUUACGAGACUAGUUUACACAGCUUGGAAUAGUUGAGGAGUUUAAACCAUUUUCUGGAAUUCUAGGGGAUUUCAAUCAAACCUUAAACUAAGAACCACCUGUUGGGUAUAACGAUAAAAUGCAUGAUGGAUUUUAGGAAACUUAAACAAAGAAAAUGAUGGACUUUGGAUGGAAGACAUGAAGUAUGCCCUGCUAAAAAAUCUGGUUUAAACAAUUCUAACUUAGUACUUAAAUUCUAGAUUUAACUUUGAGUUCCUAAAGAGGAAAUGAACCAAAGCUGGUCAAAGCCUCUUUAAGGCUAUCUUAUAAAGGUUUUACUCGCGACUUUCAUCCAAACUAUAGGAUAAAAUCAAGGAAGUUUAUAGGAAUACUAAGCUGCCAACCUCUAGGAAAUUUAUCAACUUUGAACUUUGAUUUCUAAAAUGAUCCUUAGUACCUAGAUCGCAACUUUCAUUAUAAAAUGUAAAUUGCAAUAUAAUCACUAUAUCUUACUUUCUUUUGGUAAAACAUGGAAUUUUAAAGCUUGAAAGAUUAAAGCUACCUAGACUUUGAACCUUUGAUGUACUAGAAUAAGAUAAAUACUAAGAUUACCUUAAAACCCUAUAUAUAUGUAUGCAUUUAAAUAUCUCGAAUUAUACUUAUACGCACCUAUAUACAUUUAACUAAAAUAAUCAUGAGAACCUUAACUUCACCAUUGGAGAAAUAAUAAGCAGACUAGUAAGUUUACAAAUAUCUCAGGAAUCGAGAAAGAACUAGAGAAAGGUCCAAGUGUGACGCCCCCGCUUCUCCCAAGGGCGAACCCUAGGGUAUCGGCGGGACGCCUGCCUAACUCGCACCAGGACUCAAAAUUUCAAAACAAUAAAACUAGAUAAACCCACAAGCGUACUAUUCACAAUAUAUCUAAUGCCAAAAGAGUUCUAUUUACAUCUUCAAAAGUAUCGAGUUAAACCACUCUAAUACAUUAUAAUAACAACCAGCAGAAGGUAGACCCUAAGGAGGGUCCUUAUACAAACCACCAAAACAAAAACAAAUAUCCUAACUGUCCGACUAUUACAAUCAAACCUAACUAUACUAGUGAAGGUGCCAAGAAUUUUCCCGCGUCGUCCCCUGUUAAGGAAAACAAAGGAAACAGGGUAAGCUAGAAGCUUAGUAAGUAAACAGGGAUAAAAGCGUAAAAUUUCACAUUUAAAGAAACAGCUAUUCCACAAAAUGUCAAGUCAAGCACAAAAGUAACAAUACAAAGGAAGGAUACAGGUUGGCUCCAAAUCCAAGUCAUUUGCCAUGCGUGAUCUCCUGUCGACACUCCGUCGACCAUAAAUAAGGUCCGUAGAACUCCACUUGUACACCCACCGAACACCUUAUCACCCUCACUGGCCAGUCACAUCACAAACUUGCCCGGGCGAACGAAAUCACAAACUUGAGCUUGAGUCACAAGCUCGGGUCACAAACUUGGUUCACAACUGGAACAUACGAACUUGGUGACCUCAGACUAGGUUGGAUUGGCUCCGACCAAGCCCCGGCCGACUCGAAUAGUCCAUCCAGGUCUUGAGAUCGGGCCCACAAUUUCAACAUAUUUCACGAACUCACGAAAGUCACCCCGAACUCCAAGCUCAAGGGGUUCAGCACCAAAAUAAUUCAUAUAUACACAUCUUAUGGAGAAACAUAGGUACAAACUAGGGUUUAGGUCGAGUGUGAUAAAGUACACCCUCGCCUAAGUCCCCCUUUUCACAUCAAAACACAUAAGCAGUUUAUACACAUAAAUGGCUUGAAUACUUACUCAAAAUACAAAAAUGGUACAAGAGCAAAAUCACUUCGCGCGUGUUCGCUAGUAGUGGGCCCCACCGGUUCCGCCUAACUCACCACUGUCUGAAAUAGAAGAUUGUAUCACAUAUUAUCACAAACGGCCACUAACAUGCCCAAAACAAGCAAAACGGCAAAAUCGGCACAUGCAAGUGCGGAAACGGCAAAAUGGGCGCACGCGCGCGCGCGGAACGGCAAACGGAAAUGGCCAAAUCUGCCAUCUCAAACCGUUUUGAUCAAAAGUUAGGCUAGGAAUGUCAGAUCAAGGUGAACAAGACACCAUUUGGAAGCUAUGAGGAAGGGCUACAAUUCUCCUGAAGACACCUUAAUCUAGAUCUGAAUGGAAGCAGGUUGAAAUUGUGGAAAACAGUCCAGAAAUUUACGUCUUAGGGUGACGAACAGGGUUUGUUUACUAGAUCAUAACUCACAACUCAAAAAUACAAAUCAAGAAAUUCCAAAGGCGUUGGAAAGCUAGGACAUAAGGCUAUAACUUUCAUGUUUGGACCAAAAGCUGAAUCAAUACAGAGCAUGGAGGAAAAUGGAUCCAAACAUUCCUGUCAGAACUGUCCAAUGCGAAGGCAGUUCUGACAACUGAUCUUGUUUUGGUCAUAACUGAAGCUACGAAACUCAGAUUUGGAUGCACUUUAUACCGUUUCGAAGCUAAGACCAAGAUCUACCUUUCUUAUGAAGACACCAACACCCAAUUCAUAUGUUAUCAAAACGGACAAAACAGGGUCAGAAGCUAAAUCCAGAAACACGGCAGAAUCCGAAGUUUAGAAUAGAUGCGACUAUUUUGGCCAUAACUCAGGCUACAUAGAUCCGUUUGAGGUGUUCUUGGUGGCGUUAAAAAUAUAAGACAGAGUAAUGAAACUUUCAUGUUUUGGCAAAUGGCUAAAUCCAAACGGAUUAUAGUGAAUAAACACAACCAAAAAGACUAAACUGUCCACGCGAAACUCUGGAAUGUAACCUAGAACAACGAGGGUAGUUUCAUCUUUUCACAAGCUACGUUGCUCCGAUUGAGCUGAAAUUUUGUAGGCAACUAUAAAAUACCAUUCUCUACAACUUUCAUGUUUUAUUCUAAGCCUAACUUGGCCUCUAACAUGGUGAAAUAAAACCGGACAGAAUAGAGCUGAAAUUUUCCAGAAACCUGAAAUUUUGGGAUUCAAUGCAACCUUUCUUGAUUUCUUGCUCUAAUCAUCACUAAAAUCAUUUAUAUAAGCUUAGAUACAACAUAUAUCAUCCAUAUAGCAAUGAUAGGCAGCAAGUAUCUCAAACCCUAAUUCACAUAAAUCACCUUUAAAUCCUCAUAACAACUUGUAUCACCACUAAUCCAAUCAAAACAAGUAUUAUAUAACAACUUAAACCAAAAUGAAAGAACCAAAGCCAUGGUUUAGCCUUAUACCUCAACAAAUGAAGCUUGCAAGAGUAAUACUUCACCUCCUCUUGGAAGUCUUGUUUCCCCUAGCUUCUCAAACCCACAACUAACACUUUAAUCGGUUUAGAAGUUUAAUUUCUCACUUGGAUGGCUAAAUUCAAGAAGAAGGAAGUUGUUUCUUGCUCUCUCUUUCUCUCCUCUCUUGUUCGGCCAAGCAGCAGAAAUAAUGAAAGGAAAUGGAGCAAAAUUGGUGAUAAGAAGGUUGGAAUUUGUCUUGGUCAAGAAGCCAUGGUUGAGUGACACUUGUCACCACUAAUACCAACCAAAAUUUUCUUUUUCCUUCUUGCAUUUUUAGCCCUAAAAUUUGGUCAAAGCUAGCUGGAAAAUGAGAGGAUAUUUUGCUCAAAUAUUAGUGAGCUUGUAUGGUAAGAAAGUGGUGGUCAAGUGGUGUGUUCAAUCGGUAAUGCACGGUACACGUCGGUUCACACCGUUCUUCCUUAAGUCACACGUACUAGGGUUUUUUUACUUCCUAUUCACUAACUUUUUAUCAUUGCAUCUAAUCACAUAUUAUUUCUCACCCAAAAGUCACUCUUAAGCACCAAAUUUGAUCCUUGCUUCGUACCGAAAAAUCAUCCGGCGAAAAAUCGCGAAAACCCUAAUUGCUCCAAUCUUGAAAACGAAGAGUGAAACCCUACUUUUUAGGUUCAUUUGCACUUAUUGUAGAAUGAUUGGGUAGUAUUAAUGGUUUUACACCCCACUUAGAAUUCUAACAAAUCAUAUCACUAGAAACUUUUCUAGUUUAGGGUUUUUCUAACUUUUAAACUCACUUUAAGCACCAUUCGAACUUAUAAUUAAUACAAAACUAGGGUUUCAAUCCUACCCCCAAUUUAGGGUUUUCGAAGUAUUCCCAAAAUCAAAUGUUACCGCACAAAUAAUGAAUAUAACCUAAUAUCAACCUAAGAACGGACUGGGGCUUCACACCAAGCACCGAGUAGUGAACUCAAAUUACUUUGGGUGAGUGUUUCCGAAUUUAUGUGUUUAACUGUUUAUGUGUACUUAAGUGAAAUUAUGUGACAAAUAUGUGUAUUGUGAAAUAUUGCUAAGUGAUUCAUUGUAAAGUGUAUCUCGGUUGUCCCUCACCUUCUAAGUCAAGGGUGUACUUUAUCGCACUCGACUUAGUUGAGCUAGAAGGUUGAUAAUUAAUCAAGUGAUAUUGUAAGUAUUCAGGCUGUUUUUGUGUAUAACUUGCUUAUGUGCUUUGAUGUGAAUGAGAGGGUAUGUAGGCGAGGGUGUACUUGAUCACACUCGACCUAAACCCUAAUUUUGCACCUGUGUUUGUCUAUGAGAUGUAUAUAUAUGAAUUAUUUUGAUGUUGAACCCCUUGAGCUUGUAGUUUGGGGUGACGUUUGUGGGGCCCGAUCUUAAGACCUAGAUGGGCUAUUCGAGUUGGCCGGGGCUUGAUCGAAGCCAGUCCAACCUAGUUUUGAUGUCACCAAAUUUGUGAAUCAAGUUUGUGAAUCAAGUUUGUGAACCGAGCUUGUGAAUUAAGUUCAAUUUCGUUUCGUUUGCUCGAGCCAUUUUGUGAGGUGACUGACCAGUGAGGGUGAUAAGGUGUUAGGUGGGAGUACAAGCGGAGUUCUACGGACCUUUAUUUGUGGUCGACGGAGUGUCAACAGGAGGUUACACGUGGCACAUGAUUUGGCUUUGGAGCCAACCUGUAUCCUUAACUUGUGUUGUUACUUUUGUACUUUUGAUUUGACAUCUUUGUGAAAUAAUUGUUCAGUGAAGUGUUUUCUCAAUUGCUAAUGAAAGUGAUUGUACAGUGAAAUGUGCAUUACCUGCUUAAUUAUAUUGAUUCAUGUGAUUAUUAAAUGUUACUUGCAUGGAAACCUCACGGGCGUAAGCUUACCCUUUUAGCUUUGUUUUCUUUACAGGAGUUAAAGAUUGAAGAGUGAUUGAAUUGAACUAGAAAGUUAUUUUGGGAAGAUCCGUUAUUCUGUGUAUAUAGUGUAGGCAUGGUCUCUUUUGAAUUUUGAGACGGUUGAAUUUUUGUUUGAGUUGGUGUGAUAUUAAGAAUGGAUAUUUAGAAUAGGUAUUUUGUUUCUUUUAUUGGACAAAUUUAUGUUUCAAGCUAAUUGAAGAUGUACUUAAGAGUGGAUGUUCAGUUGUCCAAUGGUAAUGUUAUCUCUGAAGUUAAUGUGAGUGAGUGAGUUCUGGCGAGAGCCAGGCAGGCGAUCCGCUAACUUCUAGGGUAUGCCCUAGGAGAAAGUGGGGUCGUCACAUGGUGUUUCUAUGUGAUUGAUUAAAAGUAAAUCUUGACUGCUUGUACUUUUGGUACUGCACUGGGUUUUUAACUCAACUCUCGUUAUCUUUAUUUUCCUUACAGGAGACAAACUUUGAAACUGUGAUUAGUGGAGAAAAGAGUAGAGCUAGUUAGAGACAUUCUUUUGAUUAAACUCCUUUGUACUGGCAAACCUUAAUUGUACUUUGAUAAAUUGUGGAUAUUCUGACUUGUAUUACCAGUUGAACUACUGAACAUUCCAAUGUAUAUAGAUAUAAGUGUCUAACCAUGAAUAUUAAAUGUAUUCGUUUGAGAUGUACAUUUCUAUGGUUAUGUGAACUUGUUGGAAA
rnacentral:lncRNA from 1 species